rnacentral:rRNA from 1 species
UACAGAGGGAGCAAGCGUUGUUCGGAAUCACUGGGCGUAAAGGGCGCGUAGGCGGCCUCAGGUGUCGGAUGUGAAAGCCCGGGGCUCAACCCCGGAGGUGCAUCCGAAACUCUGGGGCUGGAGGUCGGAAGAGGAGGGUGGAAUACCCAGUGUAGAGGUGAAAUUCGUAGAUAUUGGGUGGAACACCGGUGGCGAAAGCGGCUCUCUGGUCCGGACCUGACGCUGAGGCGCGAAAGCGUGGGGAGCAAACAGG